UUUACCUACGGGAGGCAGCAGUGGGGAAUAUUGGGCAAUGGGCGCAAGCCUGACCCAGCAACGCCGCGUGAAGGAAGAAGGCUUUCGGGUUGUAAACUUCUUUUCUCAGGGACGAAGCAAGUGACGGUACCUGAGGAAUAAGCCACGGCUAACUACGUGCCAGCAGCCGCGGUAAUACGUAGGUGGCAAGCGUUAUCCGGAUUUACUGGGUGUAAAGGGCGUGUAGGCGGGGACGCAAGUCAGAUGUGAAAACCACGGGCUCAACCUGUGGCCUGCCUUUGAAACU
rnacentral:rRNA from 1 species